rnacentral:rRNA from 1 species
ACUCCUACGGGAGGCAGCAGUGGGAAUAUUGCACAAUGGGCGCAAGCCUGAUGCAGCCAUGCCGCGUGUGUGAAGAAGGCCUUCGGGUUGUAAAGCACUUUCAGUUGUGAGGAAGGUGGUGUCGUUAAUAGCGGCAUCAUUUGACGUUAGCAACAGAAGAAGCACCGGCUAACUCCGUGCCAGCAGCCGCGGUAAUACAGAGGGUGCGAGCGUUAAUCGGAUUUACUGGGCGUAAAGCGUGCGUAGGCGGCCAUUUAAGUCAAAUGUGAAAAUCCCCGCGAUUAACUUAGGAAUUUGGCAAUUUGCUGAUACAUGGGAUGGCUAAGAGUAUGGGAGAGGAUGGUAGAAUUUCCAGGUGUAGCGGUGAAAUGCGUAGAGAUCUGGAGGAAUACCGAUGGCGAAGGCAGCCAUCUGGCCUAAUACUGACGCUGAGGUACGAAAGCAU